GUCCAGACUCCUACGGGAGGCAGCAGUGAGGAAUAUUGGUCAAUGGGCGGGAGCCUGAACCAGCCAAGUCGCGUGAGGGAAGAAGGUACUGAGUAUUGUAAACCUCUUUUGCCAGGGGACAAAGGCGGCCACGGGUGGCCGUAAGAGGGUACCUGGAGAAAAAGCAUCGGCUAACUCCGUGCCAGCAGCCGCGGUCAUACGUAGGAUCCGAGCAUUAUCCGGAGUAACUGGGUGUAAAGAGUUGCGUAGGUGGCAUAAUAAGUAGCUAGUGAAAUCUGGUGACUCAACCAUUCAGACUAUUAGCUAAACUGUUAAGCUCGAGACCGUUAGGGGUAACUGGAAUUUCUAGUGUAGGAGUGAAAUCCGUAGAUAUUAGAAGGAACACCAAUAGCGUAGGCAGGUUGCUGGGACGGUUCUGACACUAAGGCACGAAAGCGUAGGGAGCAAACGGGAUUAGAUACCCCCGUAC
rnacentral:rRNA from 1 species